GAUUAAAAGGGGGGUAGAUGGGUAGAUAGAAAAGGGGAGGGCAGAUAGGUGAUAGCAAGGGCAAGGAUAGAUAAAUAGAAAGAAGGAUAGAUUGAAAGAGGGGUAGAUAGGUAGAUAGAGAGGGGGAGGGCAGAUAGGUACACUCUAAAAAACAGAGGUACGAUAUAAGUAUUUUUUUGUACUCAGAGGUACACUCUAAUUGUGCCCUCAAUGGUACAAUAUUGGUCUUUACAGAGUCAGAUUUGUUCCCUUUGAAGUACAAAGUCAUUCCUAACAGCAGUAAGUACAGAUUUGUACCAUUUAACCAGCCAAAAGGUACAGGCAUAUAAAAAAGUUGGGCACCCCUAUUAAUCUUAAUCAUUUUUAGUUCUAAAUAUUUGGGUGUUUGCAACAGCCAUUUCAGUUUGAUAUAUCUAAUAACUGAUGGACACAGUAAUAUUUCAGGAUUGAAAUGAGGUUUAUUGUACUAACAGAAAAUGUGCAAUAUGCUUUAAACUAAAAUUUGACUGGUGCAAAAGUAUGGGCACCCUUAUCGUUUUAUUGAUUUGAAUACUCCUAACUACUUUUCACUGACUUACUGAAGCACAAAAUUGGUUUGGUAACCUCAUUGACCUUUGAACUUCAUAGCCAGGUGUAUCCAAUCAUGAGAAAAGGUAUUUAAGGAGGCCAAUUGCAAGUUGUUCUCCUAUUUGAAUUUCCUCUGAAGAGUGGCAUCAUGGGCUCACUCUUUCUACGGCUGUGGCCCUGGAUAACCCCUCCUCUUUCCGGUGAACUUGAGCUUCUGGCUGCUGUGCCUGUAGGUUUACGUGGUUUGGCGUGGUGAAGUGAGGCACAAUUGUGACGAUUUGCAUGCUCUAAUCAAUUCAGUGAUUGUUGUGGACAGUGUUGUGCCAGUUCACAGCUUUUCUGAACUAGUUCAAUUUCAGUUCAUACUUGCUCAAAGUGUUUCGUGAGAUAUUCAAAUAACGUAUGAACACUGAUCUUAACUGAGGUAAAUGAGGCCUGCAGUUCUUUGGAUGUUGAUCUAGCUAAUAGAUAGAUGUCAAUUACUUAAUUAAUUUAUUUUUUUCCCUCAUUUGUUUCUGAACUUCUUUGAAUAUUGGCAUGAUGUCUAGCUUUUGAGUAUCUUUUUGUGUAUUUCAGUUUGCCAGGCAGGUCCUAUUUAAGUGAUUUUUUUAUUGAGAACAUAUGUUGCAGUAAUCAGGCCUGGGUGUGGCUAGAGAAAAUUAACUCACAGUAAAUCACAGUUAUGUUAACUGGGGACAAACACUUUUUCACACAGGGUCAUGUAGUUUUUAUUUUCUCCAAAUAAUAAAAAUCUUUAUUUAAAAA